rnacentral:rRNA from 1 species
CAAUACUCCCGCCGGCGACCGGCGCACGGGUGAGUAACACGUAUGAAACCUGCCCGUAGCAGGGGGAUAAGCGGAAGAAAUUCCGUCUAAUACCGCGUAACAACCCGAGGAGGCAUCUCCUCGGGUUUAAAGGAAGCGAUUCCGGCUACGGAUGGUCAUGCGUCGCAUUAGCUAGUUGGCGGGGUAACGGCCCACCAAGGCGACGAUGCGUAGGGGUUCUGAGAGGAAGGUCCCCCACACUGGUACUGAAACACGGACCAGACUCCUACGGGAGGCAGCAG